rnacentral:lncRNA from 12 species
AUGCUCUAUGCCUUUGCAGGCCCCUCAUGGCUGUUGCAGGACUCAGGAGACUCAUCCUCACUUUGCCUCAGCUACCCCGUGCCUCCAAUGGAGAUGAUCAUCUUGCCUCAUUCAACCUGCUGGAGGAACUCACACUGUCCAUUUGAGGGAAAUUAACUCCUUCAUGGCCUCGAGGCAUCACCAGAAGUCUGAAUAUAGAUAUCCUACCAAAUAAUACUGCCAGGCCUUAAAAGAAAUAAUUAUUUCAUUAAGGUAAGCACAUUUCUCCCUAUUUAGAAAAGAUCAGGUCAUUCAGGAAUAAAGAGCAAUAGAAAAGCA